rnacentral:lncRNA from 10 species
CAUUUUAUGAGGCCAGCAUCAUCCUGAUACCAAAGCCUGGCAGAGACACAACCAAAAAAGAGAAUUUUAGACCAAUAGCCCUGAUGAACAUCAAUGCAAAAAUCCUAAAUGAAAUACUGGCAAACCGAAUCCAGCAGCACAUCAAAAAGUUUAUCCACCAUGAUCAAGUGGGCUUCAUCUCUGGGAUGCAAGGCUGGUUCAACAUAUGAAAAUCAAUAAAUGUAAUCCAGCAUAUAAACAGAAAGACAUAAAACCAUAAGAACCCUAGAAGAAAACCUAGGCAAUACCAUUCAGGACAUAGGCAUGGGCAAGGACUUCCUGUCUAAAACACGCUUUCAGUGAGCCGAGAAUGCACCACUGCACUCCAGCCUGGAGGACAGAGCGAGACUCCAUCUCAAAAAAAAAAAAAAACAAAAAAAGAAAGUUAUUUCUUCACUUUAACAAAAAUAUGUUGAGAUCCUAGUGGGUGCUGGGCCCUGCAUCAGGCCCCUCAAAUACACUGAGCACAUCCUCACUUUUGGGUCUUUGCUUUAUAAAUACCAGCUCCUUGCAUUGUUAUUCUCCCUGACUUCCA